AUGGAUAAUUUUAUCCAGAAUCUGCCUGGUGCCUACCCGGAAACCCCAUUGGAUCAAUUUGCCAUUAUCCCAAUAAUUCAUCUUCAUGUGGGCAACUUUUAUUUAUCAUUUACAAAUGAAGUCUUGUAUAUGCUGCUCACUGUCGUUUUGGUCGUUUUUCUUUUUUUUUUGUUGUUACGAAAAAGGGAGGUGGAAAGUCAGUGCCAAAUGCAUGGCAAUCCUUGGUCGAGCUUAUUUAUGAUUUCGUGCUGA
rnacentral:rRNA from 1 species